GGUACCUUGUGGUAUGCACAUAAUAAAUUAUUGUGUUACUUCAUUACGUUUAGCGUGUAUGUUUACAUUGAGUAUCUGUCAUAUGUGGAGAUGUUGUUAUUGUUGUCUGGAGUGUGAAUCAUUGUAUGUAAUAUUGAAGUAUCGGUAAUAAAGUGUAUACAAAUAAUGAAUACAGUUGUUGAAUAAUCAUUACAGAGAAAGAUUCUCACAUUGGCGACGAGAACGGUGAACAGUGCAUGUGAAAUUAGUUUAAUUUCGGUUCGGGAAGUGUUGUCUUCGGAAAAAGAAAGAGAUGAGUGGUGUGUGUGGUGCAUGCAGAGUGGUGAUGACCUUCAGGUGAUGACUUGUGAUUGAAUUUCAACAUUGGAAUCAAAAAGGUACAACCAUAAGUAACAGCCAAGUAAUUUACCAAAAUGCCGAGCAGAGAUGGAUGACCAAAUGGAUGACUGUACUACUAAUUCUGAUGUGAGACUGAAGCGAGACGUUCAUAAACUGAGGAGACUAUAAGCGAAAACAACGUGGAGUGACCUUGCUGCGGAUCUGGAGAAAAAACGAGAUGUGGUACCUUGUGGUAUGCACAUAAUAAAUUAUUGUGUUACUUCAUUACGUUUAGCGUGUAUGUUUACAUUGAGUAUCUGUCAUAUGUGGAGAUGUUGUUAUUGUUGUCUGGAGUGUGAAUCAUUGUAUGUAAUAUUGAAGUAUCGGUAAUAAAGUGUAUACAAAUAAUGAA